AGUGAACGCUGGCGGUAGGCCUAACACAUGCAAGUCGAACGGCAGCACAGGAGAGCUUGCUCUCUGGGUGGCGAGUGGCGGACGUGUGAGGAAUACAUCGGAAUCUACUUUUUCGUGGGGGAUAACGUAGGGAAACUUACGCUAAUACCGCAUACGACCUACGGGUGAAAGCAGGGGAUCUUCGGACCUUGCGCGAUUGAAUGAGCCGAUGUCGGAUUAGCUAGUUGGCGGGGUAAAGGCCCACCAAGGCGACGAUCCGUAGCUGGUCUGAGAGGGUGAGCAGCCACACGGGAAAUGAGACACGGUCCAGAAGCCUACGGGAGGCGGCAGUGGGGAAUAUUGGACAAUGGGCGCAAGCCUGAUCCAGCCAUACCGCGUGGGUGAAGAAGGCCUUCGGGUUGUAAAGCCCUUUUGUUGGGAAAGAAAUCCAGCUGGUUAAUACCCGGUUGGGAUGACGGUACCCAAAGAAUAAGCACCGGCUAACUUCGUGCCAGCAGCCGCCGUAA
rnacentral:rRNA from 1 species